AGCAGCCGCGGUAAUACGGAGGGUGCGAGCGUUAAUCGGAAUUACUGGGCGUAAAGCGCAUGCAGGUGGUUUGUUAAGUCAGAUGUGAAAGCCCGGGGCUCAACCUCGGAAUUGCAUUUGAAACUGGCAGACUAGAGUACUGUAGAGGGGGGUAGAAUUUCAGGUGUAGCGGUGAAAUGCGUAGAGAUCUGAAGGAAUACCGGUGGCGAAGGCGGCCCCCUGGACAGAUACUGACACUCAGAUGCGAAAGCGUGGGGAGCAAACAGGAUUAGAUACCCUGGUAGUCCACGCCGUAAACGAUGUCUACUUGGAGGUUGUGGCCUUGAGCCGUGGCUUUCGGAGCUAACGCGUUAAGUAGACCGCCUGGGGAGUACGGUCGCAAGAUUAAAACUCAAAUGAAUUGACGGGGGCCCGCACAAGCGGUGGAGCAUGUGGUUUAAUUCGAUGCAACGCGAAGAACCUUACCUACUCUUGACAUCCAGAGAACUUUCCAGAGAUGGAUUGGUGCCUUCGGGAACUCUGAGACAGGUGCUGCAUGGCUGUCGUCAGCUCGUGUUGUGAAAUGUUGGGUUAAGUCCCGCAACGAGCGCAACCCUUAUCCUUGUUUGCCAGCGAGUAAUGUCGGGAACUCCAGGGAGACUGCCGGUGAUAAACCGGAGGAAGGUGGGGACGACGUCAAGUCAUCAUGGCCCUUACGAGUAGGGCUACACACGUGCUACAAUGGCGCAUACAGAGGGCUGCCAACUUGCGAGAGUGAGCGAAUCCCAAAAAGUGCGUCGUAGUCCGGAUUGGAGUCUGCAACUCGACUCCAUGAAGUCGGAAUCGCUAGUAAUCGUGGAUCAGAAUGCCACGGUGAAUACGUUCCCGGGCCUUGUACACACCGCCCGUCACACCAUGGGAGUGGGCUGCAAAAGAAGUAGGUAGUUUAACCUUCGGGAGGACGCUUACCACUUUGUGGUUCAUGACUGGGGUGAAGUCGUAACAAGGUAGCCG
rnacentral:rRNA from 1 species